GUAAAUGUUCCCUCCUUGGGCACUGGAUGAAUUCUGCUCUGUGUUGCUUUUUACUGUGACAGUGCAACACUGAGUUCCAAUACAAAGUCCCACAGUCAUUUUCCUUUUCAUUCCCCAAGUAUUCAGAUUCUCUCUUCAUGCCAUGUGGUGGCUGCCAGAGAGAGAAGAGGUGUCAGCAAUUCAAGACUGUGUUUCCUUACUCUCUUCAGUGCCUCCUUCCUUGAUAUGAUGUUAAAACCAGGUUCCAUUAAGUCGUUUGAUAACUGCAGUAUUCAAUACUUCCUUGUCUUUGGUAUGUUUUCAUCAGAGAGAGGUGAGUUAAUCUAUCACUAUGCAUUUCAGAGAGAGGUAAGCUCAUCUAUGGCUAUAUUGGAAGUUAUGGAAAAUUGAGUGAUUGCCUAACCAUAAUUUGCCCUUUUCAUUUCCAUGAGUUUGUAACUUUGUAGGUCUUCCUGUAGAGGGAAGUAAAUUUUUUUGUGAUACUUUAUCUACUUGACUUGCUUUAAACCAUGUGAUGUUAGCAGAUAUUGUAUAAGUAGGAGCUUGUAAUAGGCUUGUACAAUGGGGCUUGCCCCUUAAUUAUUCACCUUUCCAAGAACAGUGCUUCUCCCAGGUAACUGCUGUUACUAGAAUGAUCACUUGUGGAGAACACUAGACUUGAUUAUCUGUAUAAUGCAAGCUCAGCUGUAAUUGCAGCUUCAAACAGAGCUGCCACACUGAACCUGUAAUGAGUUACCAUAGUUUUUAAAUACAUACUUUAAUCAUCCACUUACUUUUUCUUCCUUCCACUCUCACCUCUUCAUUACUUCCUUCUCUAGACAUUUCUUUAUGGCAAUGCGUGCUUAUCUAAUUAUGAUCUUGCUUAAGAAAUCCAAGAGGAUAAUCAUGAAACAAACCAAGAACUGAGUCCCCAGUGCAGAAUCCUUCUGCUUAGGGGCUGCUGUAAGCAAUUAGUUCACCAUCCUGGAUAACAUCAACCAGAUCUCUGGAUGUGUGAUUACCCGAGAGCCACAGGAACAAGACACAUAACCCCUGUACUCCACACAUCUCCAGCAUGUCUCCCAUACCAAGUUUCUCUUUAUAAACACUAUGAUACAUUUCAAAAUUUUAAAUGGCACUUUAGAACACUAGUUGGCCGUCUUCUCGGUUUGCUGGCUCUCUGAUUAAAACUGCUUUUCCUCUCAACAAACUUUGUCUCUGGCUUCUGCAACCAAACUUUGGUCUGGUUACAAAUUCACCCUGAAUUAGCUGAUCUCCAGCCAACCCACAUCUGUGAGAGAAACAAGUUCUUAUUAUGUACCACUGUAGUUCCAUUGUUGGAUUUUAUGAAGUAUUACUAUGGAAGUAUCUAACUGAUUUAGAGGUUUCGUUAUUUUCUCAUUUUAAUUUGUCAGCAUUAUACUCAUUUUUAUAGUUCAUACUGCCUACAAUUAUAUAAACAUUCAGGUG
rnacentral:lncRNA from 1 species